UAGGGAAUCUUCCGCAAUGGACGCAAGUCUGACGGAGCAACGCCGCGUGAGUGAUGAAGGUCUUCGGAUCGUAAAACUCUGUUAUUAGGGAAGAACAAAUGUGUAAGUAACUAUGCACGUCUUGACGGUACCUAAUCAGAAAGCCACGGCUAACUACGUGCCAGCAGCCGCGGUAAUACGUAGGUGGCAAGCGUUAUCCGGAAUUAUUGGGCGUAAAGCGCGCGUAGGCGGUUUUUUAAGUCUGAUGUGAAAGCCCACGGCUCAACCGUGGAGGGUCAUUGGAAACUGGAAAACUUGAGUGCAGAAGAGGAAAGUGGAAUUCCAUGUGUAGCGGUGAAAUGCGCAGAGAUAUGGAGGAACACCAGUGGCGAAGGCGACUUUCUGGUCUGUAACUGACGCGGAUGUGCGAAAGCGUGGGGAUCAAACAGG
rnacentral:rRNA from 1 species